rnacentral:rRNA from 1 species
GCCUGCGUGAAGUGGAAUCGCUAGUAAUCGCGGAUCAGCACGCCGCGGUGAAUACGUUCCCGGGCCUUGUACACACCGCCCGUCACACCAUGAGAGUCGGGAACACCCGAAGUCCGUAGCCUAACCGCAAGGGGGCGCGGCCGAAGGUGGGUUCGAUAAUUGGGGUGAAGUCGUAACAAGGUAUC